rnacentral:rRNA from 1 species
UACGUAGGGAGCAAGCGUUGUUCGGAAUGACUGGGCGUAAAGGGUGCGUAGACGGGAAAAUAAGUUAGUUGUGAAAUCCCUCGGCUCAACUGAGGAACUGCAACUAAAACUAUUUUUCUUGAGUGCAGGAGAGGAAAGUGGAAUUCCUAGUGUAGCGGUGAAAUGCGUAGAUAUUAGGAGGAACACCAGUGGCGAAGGCGACGUUCUGGACUGUAACUGACGUUGAGGCACGAAAGUGUGGGGAGCAAACAGG